rnacentral:tRNA from 1 species
GGCGGUAUAACUCAAGUGGCAGAGCACAUGCUUAGCAUGCACAAGGUCCUGGGUUCAAUCCCCAGCACCCCCU